rnacentral:rRNA from 1 species
GACGAACGCUGGCGGCGUGCUUAACACAUGCAAGUCGAACGGAGUGGCGAACGGGUGAGUAACGCGUAAUCAACCUGCCCUUCAGAGGGGGACAACAGUUGGAAACGACUGCUAAUACCGCAUACUGAAGGAGUGGAUUGCGUCUGAUUAGCUAGUUGGAGGGGUAACGGCCCACAAAGGCGAAGGUCAGUAGCCGGGCUGAGAGGAUGAACGGCCACAUUGGGACUGAGACACGGCCCAGACUGCUACGGGAGGCAGCAGUGGGGAAUCUUCCGCAAUGGACGAAAGUCUGACGAAGCAACGCCGCGUGAGUGAUGACGGCCUUCGGGUUGGAAAGCUCUGUUAAUCGGGACGCGGUACCGGAAUAGAAAGCCACGGCUAACUACGUGCCAGCCGCCGCGGUAAUUC